GAGGCAGGAGAAUUGCUUGAAACCGGGUGGCAGAGGUUGCAGUGAGCCAAGAUUGUGCCACUGCAGUCCAGCCUGGGCGACAGAGUGAGACUCCAUCUCCAAAAAAAAAAAAAAAAAAGGCAGGGUCUCACUGUUAUCCAGCCUGGUCUCUAACUGCUGGCCUCAAGUGAUCCUCCUGCCUUCGCCUCCCAAAGUGCUGGGAUUACAGUCAUGAGCCACUGCACCCGGCCUAUUAUCCACAUUUAAAAAUGGGGAAACCAAAGCUAGGGAAAGAUUCCCAAUAGCAUUAAGUGGGGAGUUAUAACUGUAAUUUACUCCUCUCCCAAUUCCUGUUCUUUAUAACCAUUUGGUUAUCAAGCAAUGAAAGAAGCCUAGUUCUCACAUCUAGAGUUCACAGGCUGGUUGGGGUGCCAGUAAACAAUCCCCGUGGCAAUCAGUGCCAUCAUCCAGGUAUGGCCAGGAGCUAUGGGAGCCCAGAGCCUAGCAGACUAUAGUCAUGUCUAAGAGGUGAGUCAGGGCCAAUUUUUGGGUGAGGUGAUGUUGGAGCUGAGUGCUGCAGCAUGAACUAGAAUUGACCAGGAAGCUGAGGGUGGCUGUUCAGGCCAGGCAAGGCAAUAGCAGCUACAAAGGCACAGGGGCAAGUAAGAACAUGACAUGUUUGCUCUAGAUGCCGGCAAGACAUGAGUCACUGAUGCGUUAGAGACUGCUGCACCAGUACAGGCAAGAAACCAUAAGGGCUGAAACUAAGAAUGUGGCCGUCGGGGCAAAGAGGGAAGGACAGACUGGAGAAGAACCUGAGUCUUGAGGCAUCAUCUGGGCUCACGCCCUCUAUGAGGCGUAAAUCUUCUCCUCCUCAGACACCAGCUGAGCCGGGAGAUCUGAACAGGCGAUGAGUUUGCAAGAUGGUUCAACAACUAUGGACAUGUGGUGUCCUCACAGGAGUCCUGUGGGCUGAACGGCAGCCGCCCCUCCUUCCACCCAGCACAAUACUUGGUUUGUCCCGCUCACUCUAAAUCUAGGCCUUCAAUGAAUGUUCAGUCCUUGAUGAGGGAGUUCUGUGGAAAAAAAUAAAUGGGAAAGGAAGGUUGGAGAGGCCUUUAUUAGCUUAAGGGGCAGUGGAAGGUAAAAGGGCUGUGACUCCUGGUUAGCUUUUUUUAAAAUUGUUUUUUGUUUUGUUUUGAUUUUUUUUUCUGGUAGCUUCUUUAUCUCAGUGUUUUUUCUUUUCCUUUUCUUUUCUUUUUUUUUUUUUUGAGACAGGGUCUCACUCUGUCACCCAAACUGGAGUACAGCGGUGCAAUCAUAACUUACUGAAGCCUUGACUUCUGGGGCUCAAGCAAUCCUCCCACCUCAGCCUCCCUAGUGGCUGGAACUACAGGUGUGCACCACCACGCCCGGCUAAUUUUUGUAUUUUGUUGUGGAGGCAGGUUUUCGCCAUGUUGCCCAGGCUGGUCUCAAACUCCUGGGCUCAACUGAUCCCCUUGCCUGGGCUUCCCAAAGUGCUGGGAUUACAGGCAUGAGCCACCAUACCUAACUCUUUUUUUUUUUUUUUUUUUUGAGACGGAGUCUCGCCCAGGCUGGAGUGCAGUGGCCGGAUCUCGGCUCACUGCAAGCUCCGCCUCCCAGGUUCACGCCAUUCUCCUGCCUCAGCCUCCCGAGUAGCUGGGACUACAGGCUCCCCACCGCCCGGCUAGUUUUUUUGUAUUUUUUAGUAGAGAUGGGGUUUCACCGUGUUAGCCAGGAUGGUCUCGAUCUCCUGACCUCGUGAUCCGCCCGUCUCGGCCUCCCAAAGUGCUGGGAUUACAGGCUUGAGCCACCGCGCCCGGCCCAUACCUAACUCUUAUCUGAGUUUUUGUAACAGUUUAACAAGCGAGCUUGUUGUUGGAAAAUUGUAAGAGUCCUGGGAAUUU
rnacentral:lncRNA from 1 species